rnacentral:rRNA from 1 species
UACGUAGGGUGCGAGCGUUAAUCGGAAUUACUGGGCGUAAAGCGUGCGCAGGCGGUUGUGUAAGACAGAUGUGAAAUCCCCGGGCUCAACCUGGGAACUGCAUUUGUGACUGCACAGCUGGAGUGCGGCAGAGGGGAAUGGAAUUCCGCGUGUAGCAGUGAAAUGCGUAGAUAUGCGGAGGAACACCGAUGGCGAAGGCAAUCCCCUGGGCCUGCACUGACGCUCAUGCACGAAAGCGUGGGGAGCAAACAGG